rnacentral:rRNA from 1 species
AUUGAACGCUGGCGGCAUGCCUUACACAUGCAAGUCGAACGGCAAGCACGGGAGCAAUCCUGGUGGCGAGUGGCGAACGGGUGAGUAAUAUAUCGGAACGUGCCCAGUCGUGGGGGAUAACGUAGCGAAAGCUACGCUAAUACCGCAUACGAUCUAUGGAUGAAGCGGGGGAUCGCAAGACCUCGCGCGAUUGGAGCGGCCGAUAUCAGAUUAGGUAGUUGGUGAGGUAAAGGCUCACCAAGCCGACGAUCUGUAGCUGGUCUGAGAGGACGGACCAGCCACACUGGGACUGAGACACGGCCCAGACUCCUACGGGAGGCAGCAGUGGGGGAAUUUUGGACAAUGGGCGCGAAGCCUGAUCCAGCAAUGCCGCGUG